rnacentral:rRNA from 1 species
AUUUUGACCUCAAAUCAGGUA